rnacentral:rRNA from 1 species
GACGAACGCUGGCGGCGUGCCUAAUACAUGCAAGUAGAACGCACAGUUUAUACCGUAGCUUGCUACACCAUAGACUGUGAGUUGCGAACGGGUGAGUAACGCGUAGGUAACCUGCCUGGUAGCGGGGGAUAACUAUUGGAAACGAUAGCUAAUACCGCAUAAUAUUAAUUAUUGCAUGAUAAUUAAUUGAAAGGUGCAAUUGCACCACUACCAGAUGGACCUGCGUUGUAUUAGCUAGUAGGUGAGGUAACGGCUCACCUAGGCGACGAUACAUAGCCGACCUGAGAAGGUGAUCGGCCACACUGGGACUGAGACACGGCCCAGACUCCUACGGGAGGCAGCAGGAGGGAAUCUUCGGCAAUGGACGAAAGUCUGAACGAGCAACGCCGCGUGAGUGAAGGAGGUUUUCGGAUCGUAAAGCUCUGUUGUAAGAGAAGAACGGGUGUGAGAGUGGAAAGUUCACACUGUGACGGUAUCUUACCAGAAAGGGACGGCUAACUACGUG